rnacentral:rRNA from 1 species
GACGAACGCUGGCGGCGUGCUUAACACAUGCAAGUCGAACGAAAAUACCAAGCUUGCUUGGUUGAUUAGUGGCGAACGGGUGAGUAACACGUGAGUAACCUGCCCCUUACUUUCCUGGAUAACUGCUCGAAGGGGUAGCUAAUACGGGAUAUUCUGACCAGCCUGCAUGGGUUGGUUUGGAAAGGUUGUUUUUCUGGUAAGGGAUGGGCUCGCGGCCUAUCAGCUUGUUGGUGGGGUGAUGGCCUACCAAGGCUUUGACGGGUAGCCGGCCUGAGAGGGUGGACGGUCACACUGGGACUGAGAUACGGCCCAGACUCCUACGGGAGGCAGCAGUGGGGAAUAUUGCACAAUGGGCGCAAGCCUGAUGCAGCGACGCCGCGUGAGGGAUGAAGGCCUUCGGGUUGUAAACCUCUUUCGUCAGGGAACAAGGCACUGCUUUUUUGGUGGUGUUGAGGGUACCUGGAUAAGAAGCGCCGGCUAACUACGUG